ensembl:snoRNA Gm24789 small nucleolar RNA SNORA17
UCUGCCCGAGAGGCAUUGCCGGUGUGGCUGCUGUAUCACGUGUACAUCAGUAGGUGGCAGAGAGAAAAAGGGCUCUAUGUGUAUUUAGUGUUCUGACCUAUGUACAUCUGAAUGAUGAAUAGCCUAACAUU